CAGCCGCCACGGUAAUACCAGCACCUCGAGUGGUCAGGAGGUUUAUUGGGCCUAAAGCAUCCGUAGCCGGUUGCAUAAGUUUUCGGUUAAAUCUAUGCGCUUAACGUAUAGGCCGCCGAAAAUACUGUGCAGCUAGGGAGUGGGAGAGGUACACGGUACUCGAUAGGAAGGGGUAAAAUCCUUUGAUCUAUUGAUGACCACCUGUGGCGAAGGCGGUGUACCAGAACACGUUCGACGGUGAGGGAUGAAAGCUGGGGGAACAAACCGGAUUAGAUACCCCUGUAGUCCCUGUCUCUUAUAC
rnacentral:rRNA from 1 species